AUCCAGCUGGCGAGUCCCAAAUAGGACGAAACACACAUCUUGGAU
rfam:Schistosoma mattheei strain Denwood, Zambia genome assembly, scaffold: SMTD_scaffold0003418